rnacentral:lncRNA from 1 species
AGGAAUCUUGCCUUAAGACAGGAAUUACUUAAGCUCACGGAACAAGAACAACUACACUGGUUUCAAAAAUCACGAGCAAAUUGGAUUAUCUAUGGUGAAAGAGAUACAAAAUUCUUCCAUGCUUGUACUUCAAGACCAAGAACUUAUAAUGCCAUUUUAAGAAUUGAAUACAUGGAUGGUGAUUGGAUUGAGGAUCUGACCAGGAUUCAAUCUAUGGUGUUACAACACUUCACUGCUAUUUUUUAUGAACCCUACAAUUGGAUUUGUCUCUCAUUAUAGCACCCUCACAGUCUAGGUGCUAAUACCUCGCUUUAAAAUUUAUGACCAUUAGACCUGUAUAUAUCGAAACCUGGGGUCAAGUAUAUCUCUGCAGCUGUCGUUCGAUACUUUGUGUUGCCCAGAAAUGUUUACUGACUUACUAUGUUUUGGACUGUACAAGGUUAAGUUUCGAUACUUCUGUGGGUAUUAGAACUUUCGCCUACGGGUUUCAAUACCUAUGAAGCCAUUAGCCUGCUGGCUUCAUAUGUUUUGAUAGCUAUAAGAUAUGUAUCGAAACGCGGUUCAAAAAGCUUGCUUUAAAACAUUUUAGAAUUUUUUUUUUUAGACUUUUUUUAACACUUAUAAAAUUUUAAAUCUUUCAACUAAAUUUUGAAUCACUUGAAAUAAUUUUCCGA